GAUUAAUUGUUCAGAUAUUAAUUUUGGAGUAUAAGAGUUUAUUUAUAUCCCUCUUUCUCUAUAAAGAUUUAGAAAUGUAUCCAAUCUUCUCUCCAGCUUGUGAACUUGGGGUUAGGCCCAUUCUUUCUAGGGUUUUGAACAUUGAGUUGUGCUCUCUCGUUAGGCCAAUUGAAGCCUGAUUUUAUUUAUGAAUUUUCUUCAUUUUUUAAAGAAGGAAAUAUGUAUACAUAUUGAUGACCUCUGGAUUUCUUCACCCCGGACUGAGGCCAGGCCCAUUAGGAUAGCCCAUAAUUCGAAGGCUUCUAAAUCUCUUUUAAGAGCCAGGUCCAGCCCGCUCAGCUCAAAGACCGGACUCCAAUCAGAUUCUCCAAUCAGGCCGGCCCAGCUCAUUCGGCCCAAUGAACAGAUCCCCUCUGGGCCUAACCUUAUCCUUAUCUUCUGGCCCAGUUCGGAACCCAGAAGGAAUUCAGCCCAUUCGCUUUGUGGGACCAUCCGCAUGCGUACCUGGGGAGAAUCAGGGGUCGUUAUGCAUGGGACAGAGAUCUGAUUCCCUUGUACAUCCGUAUCAACGUAGCAGGGACAGGUGGUCCAAUGAUACACGUUCUGCUACACGUCACUAGCUGCCAAAAGGAAACAUAUAAAAGGAGAAAUACUCUCCUCUAGUUCUAAGUUUUUUUCAGUCUUACAGAACCCAUUGUAAAACCCUAUUUUCUGGAUCUCAGCUCAUCAAUUGGCGCCGUCUGUGGGAAACGAAGGAGAUCUUUUCUUCGCCGGAGUUCCACUCUCACACAUACCCACUGAGAUCCACAAUGGCUAACCACAACGAAAACAAUCUUGUCACUCCAAAUGACCUGAGCUCUGCCUAAGAGGGGCAGCAGUUCUCUUUUUUCAGUCCUACAACACCAAAUAGCCAAACACCAAUCCCUUUCAACCCCUCGCCAAGCCUGGCGGGGAAUGCUUCCGCCGCCACCUUGUCCAACCAAGACCUCCAAACCAUGGUCCUUCAACUACAGAGCACCGCCCACUGGUUGGGGCAAAUAAUGCAACAACGGGGCCUUAGCACCCCCACCAACGUACCACCGGUGGUAGAAGAACCCUAGACCAACGAACCUCAGCCUACCUUCAACCACCCCAGAACUGUCAGCCAAGAAACCGGAGACGGGAGGAGGAGAGCCGAAGAAGAGGAAGAGCCGGCAGCUCGAGUUCAUGGGAGAAGGGCGAGGGAGAUGAUAGAAAAUGAUGAAGUCGAUAGCUACUCCGCCGAAACCACCGGAAGAAUGGGGAGUGAAACAUGGGAAGAGGAGGCCUACCAGGAGAGGAAGCCCAGGCGGGAAGGGGAGAGCGUAGACCAAAAGCUGCAGAAGUUGAGGGAGCAGCUCUUGGCCGAGCUGGGAGCGAAGGGUCAGAACCAAACUCUCCUACCCACUGCUUCACCCUUCUCAAAAUGGGUGCAGCAGGAGACUAUGCCUAAGAAGUUUAUGAUGCCACCAAUGGCAGCCUAUGACGGGGCUGGGAACCCUAGGGAGCAUGUCUUGAACUACAAGACUUUCAUGGAGCUGCAGACUCUGUCAGAUGCCUUGAUGUGCAAGGUAUUCCCAACGACGCUCUCAGGUCCGGCAAGAACAUGGUUCAAUAACCUUGGGGCCGGAAGUAUUGGCAGUUUUGAAGAUCUAGCCACCCGCUUCAUCAGCAAAUUUAUUGCCGGGGUGCCUGCGGAUAGGAAGACGAGCUACCUGGAGACAAUCAGGCAGAGGAAAGACAAAUCACUCAGGGAGUAUGUCGCUCGUUUCAAUAUAGAGGCCCUGCAGAUCUCCGAGCUCGAUGAAGGAAGGGCUGUAGAAUCCAUGCAGAAGGGGACGACCUCAGCCGAGUUCUUUGGUUCACUGAGCAGGAAGCCUUCGACCUCACUGGCCGAGCUGAUGAAACGGGCCGAAAAAUAUAUAAGGCAGGACGAUGCUUUGGAGACAAGCAGGUUCGCCAGGGGAGCGACAGAUAAAGGGAAAGCACCGGAGGAGGGAAGGCCGGAGAGGCGCAAGAAAAAGCAUGGCAAGAGACCUGAACCGUACAGACAACCCUGAGAGCGCAGGGACUAAAGACCUUCCCCUCGGGCCUUAGAACAAAGGUCACUCCCCCCGUGGGUCCCGGAAACACCGACUCCCCUCAACGUUUCUAGAGCCGAAGUGCUCAUGGCCGUCCAGGACAAGGAGUUCCUCCAAUGUCCUCGGCCCAUGAAAGCAGAAGCAAACCAGAGAGAUCCUGACAAGUAUUGCCAGUACCAUCGCGCACACGGCCACGACACCAACAACUACUUCCAAUUGAUAACAGAAAUAGAAAGGCUGAUAAAGAGAGGGCAUCUGAAAAACUUCGUGAAAAGACCGGAGGGACAGAGACCUCAGCCUAAUCCGGCAGUCCCAGUGCUGAGGAGAACGGGAGCUGGGCCAGUGAAUGAUGGAUCCAGCGGGACCAUCAACAUGAUUGUUGGGGGAACAGGGGGUCGGAUGAGCCGUAGGGGAAAGAAGAGAAGUUGAGAAGGGGAAGGCAACAGCACUGAGGUCAUGCAGGUCAUCGAGCACACUCCCAUGGCCAUCACUUUCUCUCCGGAGGAUGCUCAGGGUAUUCAGAUGCCCCAUGACGAUGCCCUUGUCAUUGAGGCCGUCAUACACAACUAUCGGGUGAAGAAGAUCCUAGUGGAUGACGGGAGCAAGAUGAACCUGUUGCCUUACUGGGUUUUUCAGUAGAUGGGAAUUCCCGGAGAACAGCUGGUCCGGGACCAAGCACCGGUCAAAGGGAUCGGAGGAGUACCGGUGCCCGUGGAGGGGAAGGUGAAACUGGCCCUCACCUUGGGAGAAACACCAAGAACUCGCACCCACUAUGCGGUGUUUUUGGUGGCUAAACUCCCUCUGAGCUACAACGCAAUCCUGGGAAGACCUGCGCUAUAUGACUUUGAGGCCGUCACUAGUAUCAGAUAUCUGGCGAUGAAGUUCCCCACAGAAGUAGGGGUGGGAGUAGUUCGGGGAAGCCAGGAGGAAGCAAGAGCAGUGUACCUAGCUACGGUAGCAGAGCCGAGCUCAACAGAGAAAAGGCUGGAUUCAAAAAACAGAGGCCAGGACAGAACCGGUGGGGGAACUGGAGAUUUUUCCCUUAUCAGAAGAAGAAACAGGUAAAGUCUUCAGUCUCAACGCCGGCCUCACCAAGGAACAGAAAACCGAGGUCAUGGCUCUGAUCCAAGGUCAUGCAUCGAGCUUCGCCUAGAAGUCUUCUGACAUGCCCGGGAUUGACCCAGGGGUGAUGACGCACAAGUUAAAUGUCCUCCCCGAGGCUAGGCCAGUAAAGCAGGAAAAAAGGGUGGUAGGAAGGGAGAAGCAACAAGCCACCAGGGAGGAAGUACAGAAGUUAGAAGAGGCAGGCUUUAUUAGGGAAGUCAUGUACCCGCAGUGGUUAGCAAAUCCUGUAUUAGUCAAAAAAGCCAAUGGCAAAUAUAGGAUGUGCAUAGAUUUUACUGACUUGAAUAAGGCCUGCCCUAAAGAUUGUUAUCCCCUCCCUGAUAUUAAUAAAAUGGUCGACUCUACGGCCGGUUUCGAUUAUAUGUCUUCUUUGGAUGCUAUGUCUGGUUAUCAUCAAAUCCCAAUGGAUAGGUCGGAUGAAGAAAAGACCUCGUUCAUAACAGAAGAUGGGACUUACUGCUAUAGAGCUAUGCCUUUCGGGUUGAAAAACGCCGGAGCAACCUAUCAAAGACUGAUGAACAAGGUCUUCAAAUAUCAGAUCGGCAGAAACGUAGAAGUUUACGUGGAUGAUAUGGUGGUCAAGAGCCCAACUUUCCAACAGCACAUGGCAGAUUUGAGGGAAGUAUUCGGGGUAUUAGAUCAGUACAGAAUGAAGCUGAAUCCAGCAAAAUGUGCCUUUUUCAUCAGGGAGGAAAAUUCUUGGGGUACAUGGUGAGUGGAAGAGGCAUUGAGCCUAAUCCGGAGAAGGUAGAGGCCAUACUGAAUAUGUCAGAACCGACCUGUGUAAGGGACGUCCAGAGACUAACCGGGAAAGUAGUAGCGCUUAAUCGAUUCAUGUCAAGGUCGACAGAAAAAUGCUUACCAUUCUUCAAAAAGUUGAGGAAAGUGCCAAACUUCGAAUGGACAGAAGACUGCCGAGAAGCUUUCAAAGAGCUCAAAAGCUACCUCAGCUCCCCUCAUGUGCUCAGUAGCGCCUUGGAAGGAGAGGAACUCCUGAUAUACUUGGUAGCCUCUGAACAAGCGAUUAGUGCAGUAUUGGUAAGGGUAGAUGAAGGAGAACAAAAGCCGGUAUUUUACGUCAGUAAGGUACUUAAGGGUGCCGAGAUUAGAUACCUGAACAUUGAAAAGGUGGCGUAUGCUCUGUUGCUAGCAGUUCGAAAGUUUAGGGUCUACCUGGAAAGCCAUCAAGGUAUAGUGAUGAUGGACCAACCUCUGAAGAAGAUUCUACACAGGCCGGAAACCUCAGGCCGGAUGCUGGCUUGGUCCGUAGAGAUUAGCCCUUACUGCUUAGAAUAUCGACCUCGGACAGCUAUAAAAUCUCAAGCCCUUGCCGACUUCAUAGCAGAAUGUACAUUCAAAGAAGAGCGGGAAGAGUCUUCUUCAGAAGUGUUGGAGAAGGGAAGUGAGGGAGAGCCUUUGCAAGAGUUCAAAUGGAAGUUAUAUGUAGAUGGGGCAUCAGGCGCGGGGGGCAGUGGUGCCAGAAUAAUGCUCAAGGGGCCUGGAGAAUUCAAGGUCUGCUACGCCUUGCGCCUAGAAUUCAAGGCCUCCAAUAAUGUGGAGGAGUAUGAGGCCCUAAUAAACGAGAUGCUGGUGGCAAUGGAAGUAGGGGCAACCGAUCUCGAGGUGAAUAGUGACUCCCAGCUGGUGAUCAAUCAGGUAACUGGGGCAUAUCAGGCCAGAGACCCGACCAUGCGAAAUUACCUAACAGAAGUAAAAGCUAUAGAAGCCGAGCUCAUGAGCAGGGGUGUUGCCAUCAAAUUUCAAAGAAUACCUCGAGAAGAAAAUGAGGAAGCAGACCUGCUUAGUCGGUUGUCGAAGAAAGAAUUAGAACAGCUCCCUGACGAGGUAUACAUACAACACAUCAACACGCCUACUUUUAAUAAAACAAUCACUGUAUUGCAGAUAGAACAAAGCCAGACCUGGAUGACCCCAUACCUGGAAUAUCUGGAAAAAGGAAAGCUCCCUGAAGACAAGGAUGAAGCAAGAAAGAUAGCAGCUUGUGCUGCUAAUUACCAAGCAGUAAGGGGGACCUUGUACUGAAGGGGGAAGUCCAGCCCAUGGCUCCGGUGUGUGAGCCCGGGGGAGGCGAUAAAAGUGAUGGAAGAGAUACCCAGAGGAAUAUGCGGAGCUCACGAAGGGGCAGGAACGCUGGCUAAUAAAAUAUUCAGGCAAGGGUAUUAUUGGCCCACUGUCAAAAGAGAGGCGGAAGAGUUCGUCCGGAAAUGCGAUAUAUGCCAGAGGUUCGCCAACGCCAUCAAUAUCCCAGCCACUCCUCAAUCCAACAUAUCCAGCCCCUAGCCCUUCUCACAAUGGGGAAUAGACAUCCUGGGACCCUUUCCCAAGACCACAGGACAGAGAAAAUUCGUAGUGGUGGCUGUGGAGUACUUCUCAAAAUGGCUAGAGGCAGAGGCAAUCCCUACAAUCACAGCCCGCCAGAUGAUAGAUUUCGUAUGGGUGCACAUCAUCUGCAGAUUCGGCAUACCGAUGGUGCUCGUUUCAGACAACGGCAGGCAGUUUGACUGCAACACCUUCAAAGCAUUUACGGCCAACAUGGACAUAUGGCACAAGUUCUCCUCAGUGGCCCAUCCUCAGACCAACGGCCAAACGGAGGUCACCAACCGAGCUAUCCUCUAAGGAUUGAAGAAACGGCUGGAUGGGGCAAAGGUGAACUGGGCGGAAGAGCUCAACAGCAUUCUAUGGGCACUCCGAACUACUCCCAGAACGUCCACUAAGGAAACGCCCUUUGCACUUGCUUUUGGCACAGAGGCCGUAGUCUCCAUCGAGUUACAAGUUCCCACUCAUCGAGUUCAAUUUGCUAACAAAAGCACCAACAGUGACAAAUUGAGAAGUAACCUUGAUGCCCUCGAAGAGAUUAGAGAGGAAGCCCAAGUCCGAACUGCCGCUUAUCAACAACGAACAGCUUGCUACUACAACCAAAGGGUCAGAGAAAGAAGCCUAAAGGUGGGAGACCUAGCCCUGAGAAACCUGGAGGCUACGGGAAAGAGAGCGGCAGUAGGCAAAUUAGCACCGACCUAGGAGGGCCGCUUUAGAAUAACAAAAGUGAUCAGGGCAGGAGUAUACCGAAUUGAAAAUAUGCAGGGAAACCCUGAGCCCCAUGCCUGGAAUAUCCAACACUUGAAAAGAUACUUCCCUUGAGGUAUCGAUAAAUGCAAAAGACUUAUUGUAUUUUAAAAGCAUGGUAAUAAAACAGGCGAUGCUUAUCGUCUCGAUUCAUUAUUUAUCUCUGCUCACUUGGCACUCAUAAAAGAAACAAAAGGGAAAAAUGAAACAGGCACAAGUGCCCAAGACCUCAGUUAGGCACAAAACCAGCUGAGAUGGCGAAGCGACAGUAAGGCCAAUGAGCCUGAAUCUUGCUCAAGACCUCAGUUAGGCACAAAACCAGCUGAGAUGACGAAGCGACAGUAAGGCCACAGAGCCCGAAUCUUACAAAAGACCUCAAAGAAGGUACAAGGCCGGCGGAUCUCAAAGAUCUCCCGGAGCAAAAACGGCCGGCGGGAUCAACAAGAUCUCCCCGGAGCAAAAACGGCUGGGAUCCCGUAAGAUCUCCUGGAGCAAAAACGGCCGGCAGGAUCAACAAGAUCUCCCCGGAGCAAAAACGGCCGGGAUCCCAUAAGAUCUCCUGGAGCAAAAACGGCCGACGGGAUCAACGAGAUCUCCCUGGAGCAAAAACGGCCACGAUCCCGUAAGAUCUCCUGGAGCAAAAAUGGUCGACGGGAUCAACAAGAUUUCCUCAGAACAAAAAUGACCUGGAGCCCUGAAAUACAGCCCGUUUGAGGCUCGUCAAGAAAGCAAGAAAUUAAGCGCUGACUUCACAAAAAAGAAGGAGAAUUUCCGAACUCAUGAGCUCGUCACACAAACAGCGCAAAAGCUGUAGCACGAAAAUCCAAGUAAAUAACAAAAGUCCGAGCUCCCUGGUCAGCUGAAUGGGCGAACUCACGACAAAGGCAAAUGAUCCCACCCACAGCUCGGAUCAACUCGCAAUAAACAAACGCUUAACAAAAACAACCCUGGGAGAGGACAACGAUAACACAGCCGAACUCCCCCUCCCAGUGGGGCAUACAGCCCACACCGCACCAACUGACAAAGGAUAACCUCAAAGGAGAGCAGAUACCCGAACUCAUCACCAGACAGAGAGGCAAAAUCGUCUAAAAUGAAGCAGCGCCAUUCCAAAUGAAGUUUAGGGAUUUACCCCCUCACCACUCACGUCAUAAAUGCUAAGGAGGUAAAAGGGCAAUUCGAGGAAAAAUCCAAAGGCAUGAGUAGAUGAAACCCUAGUUUCAGCUCUUAUCAAAUUGGAACUAAGAACAAAAAGGCCAGCCCUGCUUAUCACCUUCAAAGGUACGCAAUCUGACACACUACUAUUAAACAAGGGUUGUAUGACCGAACUCAUAAUAACGAAGUAAUAAGAGAAAAAUGAGGUUGUCCUUGCAAGAAUCAUAAGAACUUGCAGGACGAGAGUCCAGCCCCAUGUUAAAAACAGAGCUCAUAGGUAAGGAUAGUCCAGCCCGGAAAGAGCUUACAGAUAAGAAUGCCUUAGCAAAAUAAAUGAGUCUAUAAGCCAAAAGUUCAGUCAAUUAGUAGAAUUCUAGUUUUGAUGAGUUUGAAAGCAAAAAGAAGAAAACAAGCAAAAUAAGUAAAAAUAAAGUUUCAUUAAAAGAAAAGUACAUUUAUAGCAUGUUACAAGUGCCUACUCCACUGAAGGAAAAACUGUCCUCAAAGGACUUACACGACCAGAGGCGCUAUUAUCUACCCUGUUCCCUUUUUAGCUCGGCGAACUCCUUAUACUCCCUUAGAGGUCCCCUACUCUCCAACCGAACUCUAUCUCGUUAUUAUAGGAGAGCUGAACAAGUUGAUCCCCAUAAGCAUCUCUCACUGUUCCAUCAUAAGCAGGCUUCCUGUCGCCCAAGUGUGAUGCACGAUACACUCGAGCAAGCCGAGAAAAAUUGACGAGGCAUUCUGAAGAGCAAUGGAACAAGUGAAUGUUGCAAAUCUACACACAUACUAUGUUGGACUAAUUUUAGCAGAUUACCCUUGCUAAUAUUACGUGUGUGAACAGCAUCUUGUAUCUCACAGUAAGCCUCAGAAACCAUGUUAUUCCAUGAGUUUGAGUCAGGAGCAGACAUCAGGGGCACCACGAGAAUCCUCUCCUCCUCCCCGGGAGAAAGAAAGACAGGAGCCGAUCUUCUGGAAGCCCAAGACUUCUUUGGAGCGCGAACCAAGGCAAGCACUUUGAGGAGAAUGGGACACUUGCCUCCGACCUACUCCGCUACACCCCCAUUAUCCACAAAGCUGAGUUCCCUAUCCUCGGCAGUCGGACCGACCUCGGAAGGGACCCCAUAGACAUUCCUCAUAGAGGCGACCUCAGCCCUACUAGCAAGGGUCCCCAUCUCAGCUAUGAAGGCCUCAUGCCUCUCUUCAGAAGCAUCGCCAAAAGACAGGGCAGGCUUCGCUGUCGUCAAACCAGAGUCCUCGCUCGGCCUUGAAGCCCGAGAGAACUUGAGAGCUUGAACAACCAGCACGGCUGAGACGGACUUGUCAAUACUUGGCUGCCUUAAAGAUUCGGCACCGCGAAAGCUCGGCUCCGGAGCUUGGGCAGGAACAAGAGAAGGAGGCCGGCUGGACGACCCGAACGAUAUAACUUCGGCCACUAGCUGGGUAAACCCCCCCCCCCGCCGAUUGUCCAACCAGGAGGGCAUUCAGGGCUACAUUCAGGCUCUCCCUGGACAACGUAAGAAUUUUAGGGGGUUCAAUCUGAUUCAUCUUCACCAAAGAAACUGCAAAAAAUCCAAAACCGGAGCAAGUCAGAACGGCUCUCAACAAGAAUCACAAAAGAAGAUCAAAAUGGACAUCUAUAAGGGACAAGGUAAUAAAACUUUCGGCUCGCCUUGACCAGCCCGAAUAAGGUACCAAACGGAUGCCUCAAGAACGUGAAACCCCCGCUCGGACAGAUAGGUUCAAAAGAAACUAUGAAGAGAAUAAAAUUAGUGGCUGACACUUGAGAAGCAAUCUCGAAAUGCUAUAAAAAUCCCAUGGAAGAAAAGAAAUAAGAGAAAGGAGUUCACACCUGCAUGAAGAUCGAUUAUACCAGAGGUAUAUGGAUCAGAAGGAAAGACCCCUCCAUCCUGGCGAAGGUCCUGAAAGGGAAGAAGGGGGCGAUAUCGUGAGAUACCCCGAGAAGGAGGUUCUUAUGCUGAACGAUGUGAUGCUAGACUCUAGGCUAGCGGCGUCAGGAUCCUUAAAGGAUAUGCAUAGAAAAGGAAGGAAGGCGUAUCUGGAAAAUAAAAGCAAGAAAGUGAAGACGAUAGUACGCACAAAGAACAGAGGAAAGCCAGAAAUGGAAAAAGACAGAGGGGACUCGAAAGUCAAAAGGACAAAAAGAUGAAAAGGCAUUACGAAGGAAGCAGUACAUAAACAGACGCGGUCAUAAUGAUUCUUGGGAUUUACCCCCUCAUCAGUCGAAGCAAUAACUGACGAGAAGGUAAAGGGGUAAUUGAUGACCGCUGGGUUUCUUCACCCCGGACUGAGGCCAGGCCCAUUAGGACAGCCCAUAAUCCGAAGGCUUCUAAAUCUCUUUUAAGAGCCAGGUCCAGCCCGCUCAGCUCAAAGACCGGACUCCAGUCAGAUUCUCCAAUCAGGCCGGCCCAGCUCAUUCGGCCCAAUGAACAGAUCCCCUCUGGACCUAGCCUUAUCCUUAUCUUCUGGCCCAGCUCGGAACCCAGAAGGAGUUCAGCCCAUUCGCUUUGUGGGACCAUCCACAUGCGUAUCUGGGGAGAAUCAGGGGCCGUUAUGCAUGGGACAGAGAUCUGAUUCCCUUGUACGUCUGUAUCAACGUAGCAGGGACAGGUGGUCCAAUGAUACACGUUCUGCUACACGUCACUAGCUGCCAAAAGUAAACAUAUAAAAGGAGAAAUACUCUCCUCUAGGUCUAAGUUUUUUCCAGUCUUACAGAACCCAUUAUAAAACCCUAUUUUCUGGAUCUCAGCUCAUCACAUAUUAAAAUAAUUUUGUUCAAAACUGAGUUUAAUGUAAAUUGAAAAAGAUUAAGGUCAAUUAAAAUGAGUGGAAUGGAGGAUAAGAAGAUUUGAAAUUUGAUGGGGAGAGUUAAGAGUUUAAAACAAGUAAUCAAAGGAAUUCCAAAGUCUAAGCAUAUGGGUUGUGGUUUUGAAAUUCAACAUAGAAAAAUUUGUUAACAUCCAAAUGCAAGAAGACAGAUUUGGAAUGGAAAUUCUCAAAAUCUUUUGGUGUCUCCAAGAAACUAAACACUUCUUAUUUCAAUAUUUGAUGUGGCAAACCAACGGUUUGAUUGCGUGUUGGAAUUCCCACUUCUCUGCACCAAACAACUAUUCUUCAACUUAAUUCCAUCCUCCUUAUUCACAUCUAAUAUUAUACUAUUUAUUUAUUUAUUAUCAAUUACUAUUUAUAUAUUCAUUUUACAAUCCUCAUAUUAAUUAUUAAUUAUAAUAAAUUUUACAUGAGAUGCAUUGAUUAUUAUUAUAAUACAAUCGUCCGUAUGAUAAAAUUUCUGGUCAGCUUAGGGCAUUGGACUGGAUUUCCUAACACAGCUCUCGCUUUCAUCAUUAGCGCAUUUAUUGCUCAAAAACCACUCCACAAUUUGUAUUUCUCUUAUUAGAUUUAGAC
rnacentral:lncRNA from 1 species